CGUGAACGCUGGCGGUAGGCCUAACACAUGCAAGUCGAACGGCAGCACAGUAAGAGCUUGCUCUUACGGGUGGCGAGUGGCGGACGGGUGAGGAAUACAUCGGAAUCUACUUUUUCGUGGGGGAUAACGUAGGGAAACUUACGCUAAUACCGCAUACGACCUACGGGUGAAAGCAGGGGAUCUUCGGACCUUGCGCGAUUGAAUGAGCCGAUGUCGGAUUAGCUAGCUGGCGGGGUAAAGGCCCACCAAGGCGACGAUCCGUAGCUGGUCUGAGAGGAUGAUCAGCCACACUGGAACUGAGACACGGUCCAGACUCCUACGGGAGGCAGCAGUGGGGAAUAUUGGACAAUGGGCGCAAGCCUGAUCCAGCCAUACCACGUGGGUGAAGAAGGCCUUCGGGUUGUAAAGCCCUUUUGUUGGGAAAGAAAAGCAGCAGGUUAAUACCCCGCUGUUCUGACGGUACCCAAAGAAUAAGCACCGGCUAACUUCGUG
rnacentral:rRNA from 1 species